CAGUCGCCGCGGUAAUACGGAGGGAGCUAGCGUUGUUCGGAAUUACUGGGCGUAAAGCGCGCGUAGGCGGUUACUCAAGUCAGAGGUGAAAGCCCGGGGCUCAACCCCGGAACUGCCUUUGAAACUAGGUGACUAGAAUCUUGGAGAGGUCAGUGGAAUUCCGAGUGUAGAGGUGAAAUUCGUAGAUAUUCGGAAGAACACCAGUGGCGGAGGCGACUGACUGGACAAGUAUUGACGCUGAGGUGCGAAAGCGUGGGGAGCAAACAGGAUUAGAUACCCGUGUAGUCCCUGUCUCUUAUAC
rnacentral:rRNA from 1 species